GAUCGAAGGUUACAGAUGAGUGUCCACAGUGUGUGCACUUCAUCGUGGAUUUUAAUUGACCAACGGAAUUAUCUAUAAUCUUUGAGGUAUAUGUACUCAAAUAAAUCAGCCACGACUCUUGUGCUUUUCCGCUGUCGCUCAAUAUUUCGUUGAUCUCCAUUAAAGUCAGUUUAGGUUUCCCAUCGAAUCUAUUAAUGUCAUCAUGUGAACCUUAUAAAAGAUGAUGACGGAACUCCAGGGCGUUUUGAUGCGCAUGACCCAUGAAUCGAGGGACAAAACUCUGAAUCUGACUUUUUAAGGAGACUGUGUUCACUGUUCUAUCAGAUGAAUCUUCUGAUCAGAAUUCCUUGAUAGCUUCUGAAAAAGCAUUGAUUGAAGCACCCUCCAUACUAGAAAUAUUACUAUUGAUUUCUUUCACGUACCCAUCCUUUUUCAAUCAUUCCACUAACCAUCUCAUAUUUGAUAAACAUUGGAUUACACUGUUCAUGAAAGAGGUGUUGCCAAUAUUUUCCAACCCAUUAAGCCCAAGGGUUUUGACUGGGAAAAGUAUCACUGAUUUAAUUGUGUUGUAGCUGUUAAUGAUACGUUCACCACUGCUGUUUUCUUUCUAGUAGACGUAGCGGCAAAGAGUAAAGCUGCAACUGUAUCUACGCAGGUGAAGUCCCAAACCAGAGGUUUCCCAAAUUUUCAAGGAAUUAGACUCAUCCCGUCUGUACGCUUUCCAUCAUCUCGACUAACACCUAGGGGUUCAAGAACUGAAGGAACCUCUGUGGUGGCUAGAGCUCUUUUUAUGAGAUCAUUAAUGAAAUGACGUCUUGAAAAUCUGCCAGAACUAAAUUCACAACUUAGGCCAUGGUAACCAUUUUCUUCUAAAGUGGAUCCACAUCUGGAUUUAUGACAAACAAAAAUUGAAGAACCUAACCGAAGACACUCAAAGAAGCCCCGAGAAGAUCAUUCAGCCAGGCACCAGAUUCUUUGGAAAUAACAGUUUAAGUCUAGCCAUUUGAAUAUCGGUAUUUCUUUUUGUGGAAGUAUUUGUCAUCAAUACAAAAAAAGAAGUCAAAAGAUCCCUAACUGAAUGAAGCCCUGAGAAAAUCCAAGAGAGACUCAUGCAGGAAGCAAUGUGUGGAAUUCGAACAGACCCAGGUAUGCGUCAGACUGUAGAGUAUACAUUCAAAAGAACCUCAAGUCUUGAAUAAUAACCUGAGAACUAAUACCAAGGAAUACACCCGAUAAGAAAGCUUCUCUGGGUGUAUUUCUCGGUUAAGAUAUCUCAAAACCAAUACCGUAGUCUUUGACGAAUUUAGAACUGGAUAUACUGGACAUACACAAAUGAGCGUCCAGGAAAAUUGAAUGAUGGCAAAGAGAGUGGUAGAUUUGGAAAAGAUCAACAAAUAGGCUGUAAGUUCAUUUUAAACACAUGAUUCACUGGGAUCAGAUGAUGCCAUCCAGCAAUGCUGGAAAAAGAUGGAAAAAAACGUAAUUGGCCCUUGAGGCUGCAGUUUUUUUCGGAGACGGAAAUAAUGAACAAGCCAGACAAACAGUCUCAGGAAGCGGAACAAAAAAUAGUCGUCAUUGCAUCAACCUCAGUUGUUGCUAUCUUCAUGCUCAUAGAAGUGCAGAAAUUAAAAAUUCAACGGAGUUCAAUUUUCUAAGUGAAUUCUCUUCUUUUCCAAUGAACAGCCUUGUAUGUGAUUUUUUUAAAGACUCCGAAAAUAUGCAUAUUGCAGACACGUAUUAUGUAUCGACACGUGUUUUUGCUCAUUUGAUGUCAUCAGUAGAUAAAAAUAACCAAGUGCAAGGUUAAGCAAUACUUGGUUGCAGGUUGUAGAAAACAACCCAAAUACACGGAUUUAUCAACAGAAACCAGUCGCACUUGGUAGUUCCAGUCAGAUCGCCACAGAAUAGAGGCUACAUAUAAUACAGAUGAUGGUUCAGUGAGUAUAUUUGAUUAUAAUCAAACACAGCUUGCUUGAUAUUUCGUGAUAUGAGAUAAUAAAAUUUCAUAGCAUAUUCACGUUAUUGGAAUAAUCCUGCCAGGAGAAUUAAGGUUUUGUAUCCAAAUCGAAUGGAUAUAUGAGCCCUCUUGCUUUAGAAUGCCUUAUGACGGUAAUGCGGGGAUUUGCCCUGUUGGACUAUCUUUCCCUAGAUACUCCUGGGGACGCCUAUGAAUCAGAAAGUAAUCAAUGAAUCUGAUCAUGAGUUCACGGAGGAGAUGGACGUCAACUAACUGACUCCAACUGUCUUGCUUAAAACAUCUAAUCAAGAGAAAACACUUCUCCUAAUCUUCAUCUUCUUUUCUUUUUCAUGGUCUUUGCUUCCCCUCGGCGCAGUAGACCAGAUACUUCUCUUAAUCUUGAUUCUGUCAACGAGACUAGGAGGCUAGGUGGUGCAGCCAGGAGGCGACUUAUCCUUUGGGCAGGAUAUUCAUCCAAACCAGAAGCAAACAAGCCCUGCAUCUCUAAACCUAAUAUAUCGUCAUAUAAAUAUCUGUUCCGGCCAUUGAGAGGAUACUUCAAAAGAUGGUCCUCAGAUGCGUGUCCAGAGUUGUUCAUUCAGACAUGGAUAGUUAGAGGUUACCUGGGAGGAACAGGAGAACAAUUACGAAAAAGCGUAUGUCUGCUAUGCGUCGUGUGGCAUUCCAAGCCACACAUUUGUUCACCUAUUUAACGAAGGUACUCGCAGACUAAUCAUCGAUUAAUUUCUCACUGGAGUAAGUAAAAUGUACCAUGGUAUGGAGUGGACGGAAAUUCAGGCCCUGCUGACAGAGCACAUACUAUGUUCCUGCCCUGCCGCAGAACUAAUCACAUUUUCAGGAUUUGGCAGACUUCCACUUUUGCAAGCUGACCUGAAAAAUCACCUACCAAAUCAAGUAAUCGUUGUGAAUCUGGAUUCAUUUAGUCAAGUUUGAAUAGGUGUGAGCCGCAAUAAUUUGUCUCGGAUUGCACUGAAGGGUCGAAUAGCACCGCUCAGUUUGGCCUUAGUAUCAAUUGGAAUAACAAAGGCAGCUUCUUCAAAAAUUGAAACAAUGUUUCGAACUAAAAAGUUGUACACACCUCAGCAAUUUGCGAUGCUUCAUAAAACUCAGGUAGACCUUCUAUGGAAUUUUGCUUAGAUAUAUAGAGUUUCACCGAUAUGCAUACACCGAGGCAGCUAAAUUCUAAUUAGGAAAGAGCCAUCCGCCUGAUUUGAUCACAAGCAACCUUGGUAGCCUAAAUAAAAGGUGGGUUAGUUACUUAUCUCUUUUCUGUAGAUAUUUCGACUAGCGGAAUAUGUCGAAAGUAAUAAAAAACUACAGCUGCCGAUUACUUCAAAAUUUAGUUCCCUGGUAUUAGUCAAAAAGGUAGUUGUGUUCCAGCAGACAUUUGCCAGAUUCCACUAUGUAUGGACAAUAAGAGAGGUGAAUAUUUAUUUUCCAAUAUAUCUGAGAACUGUUACUAUCAUAUUUUUAUCGAUAUAGCCCAAAAUAAACUAUAAAAUGAAAUACUCCAAAUCAUCAAAAUUUUGUUUAGGCAUGGGAAAAACAAGAAGUUCAACCAUACAGUCAUCACGGAGUAGGGAUAAACACGAAGCCGAUCUCCUGUCUCUCUAACACAAUAAGCCUUAUCUCACUCCCUACACAGUUUUUGUCACUAUUAUUGUUUAUCCAUCGAUGGUAAAAACUAUUUAUUAUCUAAUAGAGUUUUUGAAUUCAAUGAAUUAUCCAGGCAUGCCACCACAUAAUUUACAACUUACAACUCCGUUAUUUGAAUCCACUACGGCUGUGUAACGGCACACGAUUAGUCAUUAAAAAGUAGCCUUGACGGUUGACUCAAAGAUAGAAUCAGUUCACAUCAAAGUGAUAGUGAUUACAUCUUGAGAGAUGUGCUCUCAGUAGUCUUGUUUUCAAAGAAGGUCAUAAAAUGGACUUUAAUUCAACUGAAAUCUUAUCGAUUGAAAGAAAUACAUCUGAAGGGUUGUUUUUGGAAAUGUCAUUUAUUUUACAAUCAAAUAAUUGCCGUAAUAGAAGAGCAAACAUUGAUCACCUCAGUGAAAUCUAUGUCUUCCUACCAGAUAUUGAUAAAAAUUCACACAAUUUUCUAACCAACCAGAAAUAAUUCUGGAUUUUUAUAAUUAUAAUUCAUAACAUUUUUUAAUAUUUUGAAGCAAAGUUAUAACCUUCCUAUGGCAGGGUUUUACUUUCAAUUAAUGACACUUCUUCAUUAGCUUUUGAAUCAAAACUAAUAAGGGUGUUGUCAAUUAAUUAAUUUCAAUUUGAUGCAAUUGAUAUUAUAUUUUCUCAUUGAUUUGCUUAUAUAACAGCAGAUGUCUCUGAUCAUACUUGCGCCAUUUGUUUCAUAGUUUUAACAUAGACAAAAAAAACACACAUUUUUCAAACUGAAUCAGAUGACAGUGUCAAUUGUUGGUUUUGUAGCUCUUCCUGAAAGAUGAUAAAUUGUAUCGAAAUAUUGGAAUAACUUGUGUUAUUUGUUAUCAUCAGAGAAACUACAAGAGUAAAUAUAUAUGUAUUUACAUUU